rnacentral:rRNA from 1 species
GGGCGUGCCGUAGGCAAGAAGUGACUGGGCUCAGCUGCCAAGAAAAGCCUCUAAGCGAAGAAGUUCUGGCGUCCGUACCGCAGACCGACACAGGUGGGCAGGUAGAGGAUACCAAGGCGAACGGGAGAACCCUCGUUGAGGAAUUAGGCAAAUUAGCCCCGUAACUUCGGGAGAAGGGGCGCCUCUGGGGGUGAGCUAUAAGCAUAGGGAGCCCGUGGAGGCCGCAGAGGAAUGGCUCUAGUGACUGGUUACCAAAACCACAGGUCUCUGCAAACGCGGAAGCGGCAGUAUAGGGGCUGACACCUGCCCAGUGCCGGAAGGUUAAAGGGAGGGGUAAGCGGAAGCGAAGCUCUGAACUGAAGCCCCGGUGAACGGCGGCCGUAACAAUAACGGUCCUAAGGUAGCGAAAUUCCUUGUCGGGUAAGUUCCGACCCGCACGAAAGGUGUAACAACUAGAGCACUGUCUCAACGAGGGGCCCGGCGAAAUUGAAGACGCGGUAAAGAUGCCGUGUACCCGCAGCAGGACAAAAAGACCCCGUGGAGCUUUACUGCAGUUUGGCACUGGAUUAGGGUUGCGUUUGUGUAGGAUAGGUGGGAGGCGGAGAAGCUGGGACGCGAGUUUCGGUGGAGCCGACGGUGAAAUACCACCCUGGCGCAACUUUGAUUCUAACCUAGGCCCGUGAACCGGGUUGGGGACCGUGCCAGGCGGGCAGUUUGACUAGGGUGGUCGCCUCCCAAAAGGUAACGGAGGCGCUCAAAGGUUCCCUCAGGUGGCAUGGAAACCCACCGGAGAGUGCAAAGGCAAAAGGGAGCUUGACUGUGAGGCUGACCAGCCGAGCAGGGACGCAAGUCGGACUUAGUGAUCCCACGGUACCGAGUGGAAGGGCCGUGGCUUACCGGAUAAAAGCUACCCCGGGGAUAACAGGGUGGUGAGGCCCAAGAGUUCACAUCGACGGCCUCGCUCGCCACCUCGAUGUCGGCUCGUCACAUCCUGGGGCUGGACAAGGUCCCAAGGGUUGGACUGCUCGUCCAUUAAAGUGGCACGCGAGCUGGGUUCAGACCGUCGUGAGACAGGUCGGUCUCUAUCCGCUGUGGGCGAAGGGGAUUUGAGGGGAGCUGCCUUCAGUACGAGAGGACCAGGGUGGACGGACCGCUGGUGUGCCAGUUGUGGCGCCAGCCGCAUCGCUGGGUAGCCAGGUCCGGCAGGGAUAACCGCUGAAAGCAUCUAAGUGGGAAGCCCGCCCCAAGAUGGGAUCCCCCACACCGGGAAGGUGGUAAGACCGCGGGAAGACGACCCGUUAGAUAGGCAGGGAGUGGAAGCGUUGUAAAGCGUGGAGCUAACCUGUACUAAAGGUCGAGGGCUUCUUCCG